GUCGAGCGGACAGAAGGGAGCUUGCUCCCGGAUGUUAGCGGCGGACGGGUGAGUAACACGUGGGUAACCUGCCUGUAAGACUGGGAUAACUCCGGGAAACCGGAGCUAAUACCGGAUAGUUCCUUGAACCGCAUGGUUCAAGGAUGAAAGACGGUUUCGGCUGUCACUUACAGAUGGACCCGCGGCGCAUUAGCUAGUUGGUGGGGUAAUGGCUCACCAAGGCGACGAUGCGUAGCCGACCUGAGAGGGUGAUCGGCCACACUGGGACUGAGACACGGCCCAGACUCCUACGGGAGGCAGCAGUAGGGAAUCUUCCGCAAUGGACGAAAGUCUGACGGAGCAACGCCGCGUGAGUGAUGAAGGUUUUCGGAUCGUAAAGCUCUGUUGUUAGGGAAGAACAAGUGCGAGAGUAACUGCUCGCACCUUGACGGUACCUAACCAGAAAGCCACGGCUAACUACGUGCCAGCAGCCGCGGUAAUACGUAGGUGGCAAGCGUUGUCCGGAAUUAUUGGGCGUAAAGGGCUCGCAGGCGGUUUCUUAAGUCUGAUGUGAAAGCCCCCGGCUCAACCGGGGAGGGUCAUUGGAAACUGGGAAACUUGAGUGCAGAAGAGGA
rnacentral:rRNA from 1 species